GAUGAGUCCGCGUACCAUUAGCUUGUUGGUAGGGUAAUGGCCUACCAAGGCUACGAUGGUUAGCUGGUCUGAGAGGAUGAUCAGCCACACUGGAACUGAGAUACGGUCCAGACUCCUACGGGAGGCAGCAGUGAGGAAUCUUGCGCAAUGGGGGAAACCCUGACGCAGCAACGCCGCGUGAGUGAAGAAGGCCUUCGGGUCGUAAAGCUCUGUCGGGUGGGAAGAAAUGUAUGCAGGUGAAUAUCCUGUAUAUUUGACGGUACCGCCAAAGGAAGCACCGGCUAACUCCGUGCCAGCAGCCGCGGUAAUACGGGGGGUGCAAGCGUUGUUCGGAAUUAUUGGGCGUAAAGAGCGUGUAGGCGGCGUGAUAAGUCAGAUGUGAAAGCCCUGGGCUUAACCCAGGAAGUGCAUUUGAAACUGUCUUGCUUGAGUACGGGAGAGGGAAGAGGAAUUCCUGGUGUAGAGGUGAAAUUCGUAGAUAUCAGGAGGAACACCGGUGGCGAAGGCGACUUCCUGGCCCGAUACUGACGCUGAGACGCGAGAGCGUGGGGAGCAAACAGGAUUAGAUACCCUGGUAGUCCACGCCGUAAA
rnacentral:rRNA from 1 species